GACGAACGCUGGCGGCGCGCUUAACACAUGCAAGUCGAACGGAAAGGCCUGCUUUCCCUUGUGGAUUGCGGGUACUCGAGUGGCGAACGGGUGAGUAACACGUGAGUGAUCUGCCCCCAACUUGGGUAUAAGCCUGGGAAACUGGGUCUAAUUCCCGAUAGGACUGCAGGGUGGUGCCUGUGGUGGAAAACGAUUUUCUAAUGGUUGGGGAUGAGCUCGCGGCCUAUCAGCUUGUUGGUGGGGUAAUGGCCUACCAAGGCGGCGACGGGUAGCCGGCCUGAGAGGGUGGACGGCCACAUUGGGACCGAGAUACGGCCCAGACUCCUACGGGAGGCAGCAGUGGGGAAUAUUGCACAAUGGGCGGAAGCCUGAUGCAGCGACGCCGCGUGGGGGAUGACGGCCUUCGGGUUGUAAACUCCUUUCGACCGCGAGGAAGCCACCUGGUUGGAAGGGUGGUGACGGUAGUGGUAGAAGAAGCACCGGCUAACUACGUG
rnacentral:rRNA from 1 species